GAUAAGGAGGGGAAAAAAGGGGUAGAGAAAGAAGUAGGGGCAGAGGAAAGAAAGGAGCAGAGAGAAGGAAAAAAAGAGAAGGAGAGAGGAGAGAAAGAAAGAGAGAGGAGAGAGAUAAAAGGAGAGACUGUAUGUAUGAGCACAGCUUUUCUAAGCGGCCAUUCAGAAGAAGGAACAAGCAGUGACUUCAAACUCCUCCAGCACCAAAACCUCUCCUUCAUUCUCAGUAGAUCAGAUUUAGACAGAGAGACACUUCGAACCAGUCUGUUCUGGACACACAGGGUUAACAAACACGAGGAAACUCAUCAAUAGAAAACAGCAUCCGAUCAGUUACUACGCCUUUAUAGACGUCGAGCUGCACGUUUUUAGAGUUGAACUGAACAAGAAGACACGUGCGACUGCCAAGGAAAAAAAAACAGACAAUGAAAUGGCUCACUCCCUCACUGUCCCAAGCGUUCCGGAGGCGAUGGUGGCUGGCCGGCACAGCAGUGGUGGAAAAUCUGGGAUUUUCAGCUGUGCUGCUUGGGUGGGGAUCUCUGCUCAUCAUGUUGAAGAGCGAGGGCUUUUAUUCACACCUUUGCACAGAAAAUGAGACGGCGUUGGCUAAUGUUAGUGCUGAGGCUCACGAGGAUUCACCCAGCUGUGUAGAGCAAGAGGAGAUGCUCAACCUGGGCUUUACUAUUGGCUCCUUCCUGCUCAGUGCUGCUACGCUGCCACUUGGUAUCCUUAUGGACAGAUAUGGGCCCAGACCACUGCGCCUCGCCGGGAGCGCAUGCUUUGCUCUCUCCUGUGCAAUGAUGUCUGUGUCAGCAUACCAGACUGAAGCUCUCUCUGCACUCAUCUUUCUUGCUUUGUCACUCAAUGGUUUCGGAGGAAUCUGUUUGACCUUCACUUCUCUCACGUUACCCAACAUGUUCGGGAGCCUCAGCUCCACCGUGAUGUCCCUGAUGAUUGGGUCAUACGCAUCGUCUGCUGUUACCUUCCCAGGAGUAAAGCUAAUAUUUGAUGCUGGCGUGCCAUUCACUGUGAUCAUGUGGGUAUGGUCGGGUCUUGCCGCCCUGAUCUUUGUCAACUGCUUCCUGAACUGGCCCGUGGAGCCGUUCCUCACACCAGAUGAGAUGGAAGAGAUGUCAAUGAAGAAGACGCGUUCAGGUGAUGACUCACAGAAACACACUCUGACCUCUAACGAGGAGAAUAAACCAGAUCAGCUCGACCUCUCGACUGACGCAUCCAAUGCAACGCCUGCCACUCCUUUCCGCCGCUCUGUGUUUUCUCCCAUCUUCUUGUGGAGUCUGAUCACCAUGGGGAUGACACAACUGCGUAUAAUCUUUUACAUGGGAGCCAUGAACAAAAUGCUGGAGUUUAUGGUCACACAUGGAAUACCCAACCCCUCUGAGGACACGGCACUGGCACAUGAAGCUGCUGAGAACGUGAGCUUUUAUUCAUCCAUCUUCGGCACGCUGCAGCUCCUGUGCCUCGUCACAUGCCCUCUGAUUGGCUACAUUAUGGACUGGAAAAUGAAGGAGUGUGAGGAAGAGCAGGGUCCUGCAAAGGAAAAGAAAAGCAGUUCUGAUUCCAAACCAAAGCGUGACAGAAAGAUCCAGAAACUGACAAACGCUAUGAGAGCCUUCACGUUUACCAACGGGCUGCUCGUCCUGUUCGGAAUUGUGUCACUUAUUGACAACCUGCCACUACAGAUCUUAACGUUUAUCUUGCACACCAUGGUCCGAGGAUUCAUCCACUCCUGCUGUGGAGGAUUGUAUGCUGCUGUCUACCCAUCCAACCACUUUGGCACUCUGACUGGGCUGCAGUCUAUGAUCAGUGCAGUGAUUGCCCUGCUCCAGCAGCCGCUCUUCAUCGCUAUGUUGGGACCACUGAACGGAAAUGCUUACUGGAUCAACGUCAGCCUGCUGAUCUUUUCAUUGGCCGGCUUUCUGUUGCCGGGAUACCUGCUUUACCACCGCCGAAACCUGGUGCGAGAGAAGGUUUCACAGGAAAAGGCUCAUCUCAACCAACCAGAAGCCAACGGCAUUAACGGACACGCGCCGCAGGAGGAGGCCUAAACCCACAGAGAAACAACCACAGGAAUGUUAAUGCGUUUUCAUUUGCAGACUCAGCAUAAACCAGGAACGUCAGAUUAGAACGAGUCUUUAUUAGCGUCACAUGUUGGUGCUGAUUUGUUUCAUUAAAGCCAUAAAAUUUCAUGUAAGGACUUCUAAGCAUUACACACUACCGUGAAAGCCUUUACUUAUGCAAAACCUCUUUUGUUUUUGUAAACUUCAUAUUUAUUUUCUAGCUUCAAAAUCGAAAAGGUGGAAUGUACCCCUAAUACACACUCUACUCCACUUGACUUGACUGUAGACAAGCUACCUCAGCCGAUCGUCGCCUCUGACAUGCUGAGCCAUGGGCCGGGUAAUCAGUUUGUCUGUGAAAUGUGUGUUGCCGUUCACCAAAGAGUGUAUGCGUGUGAAUAUGUGUGUGUGUGUAGUUGAACACCAUGUUGUCAAUUUACUGUCUUGAGAAUGAGUAAUAGAUGAAAAAGAAAUGUUAAUUCUUUCAUUUCAAGCAUCAAGGUGAGUGAAAAGGACCUCAAAUCUAAAGGAAUGGAUUCAUAUUUAUAAUGUUACAUGUUUGCCCAUGAAUUUUCUCUUAUUUUUAACGCCCACGAAUUUGUUCUUUUAUUUCUUUUUUUUACUGUCGUCUCAGUAUCCAUUGGAAUGGAAAUGUUUUUAUUUCUUUUUUUUUUUUCUUCUUCUGAUAUACAUUGCUAUUAUUGUAUUAUUAUAUGCACAUUUCUUUUCAUGCCGCAACAGUGAUAUUCCUGCUUCGUAUUUACUUUUUUCUCAAUCUACUAUUUUUCUACGCAGGUGACAAAUCAUAGUAAUAAUCAGGGGUCAGAGUGAAAUGUCACAUGGAGACGUGUUACCUUUCUUCGCUACAGCCAAAUUUCACACCAUCCAGUCUGUUACGUGUGUUUGUGUGAAACCCGUGCCUUAUAAAUAUAUCUGCUUUUUUUUUUUUUUUUAAUCUCUGAAUGUACAUAACAGUUCACGGAUGCAACCAAAGCUAUUUAAGCCUCGGGGGAAGGUCUGUCGUUUUUUACAAAACGUGAUGAAAUGCUCCAAAGAAAAAAAUGUGCAGAGAUGAAUUGUGUUUUUUGCUUAACUAACCAAAAAUAAAGAUAAUAUUGAGGAACAAA